GAUGAAGAACGCAGCGAAACGCGAUAGUUAAUGUGAAUUGCAGAAUUCAGUGAAUCAUCGAGUCUUUGAACGCACAUUGCGCCCAUCGGUAUUCCUUUGGGCAUGUCUGUUUGAGCGUCAUUUCAACACUCCAGCCGUAAAUUUUUGUUUUCGAAUGGGUCUUGAGCACGGUUCCGGGGUUAUACCCCAAACCGGCUUUAAAGUUGAACGCUCUGCGGGUGACUUUCAACCUGACCGAACAUAGUAAAAUCUUUUAUUGCUGUUCAACUUGGUUUUCAGUUCCACCUAGCCUGAAUAAAAACUCUUUCUUAAAGGUUUGACCUCAGAUCAGACAAGGAUACCCGCUGAACUUAAGCAUAUCAAUAAGCGGAGGA
rnacentral:misc_RNA from 1 species